UCCAUGAUGUCUACGUGCCCAGGUGGUAU
rnacentral:sRNA from 1 species